AAUAAUAAAUACAACAAAUAAAUAGUACAUAUAAAAGCGUAAACAAAACCUAUUAUUUUAACGCGACGCACCAUAAGAAGAAACAAAUUGUGGUAGAGAAUAAUAUCCAAUCGAAUUUCGAAACCCUUCCACAAGUGCAAAGGUGCCACAGCUUUCUCCAUUCAGUCCAUUCCAUUAAAUACACAAAAACAACAAUAUCUGUUUGGAUUGUUCGUUUGGCAACAUGUCACAUCAGGACCAAGCAGAGGAGAAGAAAGAGCUGGUCAGAAUUCUGAAACAGGGAAAAAGAGACCUGCAGAAGGAGGACGAAGAGGUGGAGGAAGAACGUGCCAGAUUGAACAGCUUUCAGAAGAAAUUAGAGGAGCGGGAUGCUGUUUUGACCGCAGAAAAGAGGGAACUUGAGAAGGAUAAAGAAACCUGGCCAGCUCAUGAGAAGAAGAUUCGCGAGUUGUCGGAUUCGCAGCCAGACAUGGAAACCGAGCUCGAUCGACGUGAGCGACGCCUGGCCAAAGAGAGAGCCGAAUUCAAGGCUCGUAAGGAGGCAGAAAAGGCUGCGGCCUCUCCCAAUAAUUAGCCUUCAAAGAUUUACUUGGUCAAUAAAAAUCUCUCAGUGGUUUCGUUAAGCAAAAUAUAUUUGCUAUGGAAUUUUUUAAUUUAAAUUCGUGUCCCUCUUCUGCAAUAGUUUCACACAAAAAUUGCAAUUUGAACUUAAAGAUUUAUUUACUUCAUUAAUUAACUGAUUGUGAGAUGAUAACAUGUGUGUGCUACAAAAUUUAAGAACCAUGAAAUGAAAUGAAAAAAUAAUUAUAAAACUCACUCAUUUUGAAAAAAAAACAUAUGUUUCAAUAUUAAAAUUAAUUAUAAUUAUUUAACCACAGUUGGGAGAGGCUCCCUACACGUGUAACAAGCAGCACAAAAUAACGCUGAUUGUUGGUCACUUUUUGAACAAAAUUCCUUUCGUUCACCAUGCCGAAAGCAACGAAGAGGCCUAGGAAGAAGACCGCCAAGCAGAGGGAGAUGGAAAGAAUCCGAUGGGAGUUGAAGUGCCUGGACCAGUGCAGAGAACAAAACCGAAAGCAAAAGGAGGAGCUGAUGGAAAGGCGACGAGACCUUGAAGAAAUGGAGGAACAAAUUUACCACCGAGGAAACGCUGUGGAAAUGGAAAAGCGGCAGCUUGUCGUUGAUAGACUGCCGUUUAGAAGGUUUGAAUACGAAGUAAUGGAGCGGCAGAAGAAAAUCAAGCAGCGGGAGAAGGCUGUGACUGCUGGAGAAGAGAGACUGAGGCGACAAGUGGAAAGCUACGAGAUCGACAUGGCGAAUCAAAGACAGCGAACCUUUAGUUACAUCAGCUAAAUUUUCAGUAAAAAAGUUCUGGACUAAAUUACAAAUCAAAUAUUAAUUUAUUUCAUCUCCACAAGUCUCCCUCAAUUACCACACAUCGCGCACCAAUUAAACCUUAAUAGAGACAGAAUUUUGAUUAUUCAGUUGUAUUAUUUAAUUUGUCUCUUUCUAGUCUGUGGUAUUAUCUUUUUGGCUUUUUGGUGUACUGAGUGAAUUUUAAAUUAAUAAUACAUCGACAAACAAAUACACUUUUUAAGAGCCAGUCACUUUCAACAUUUUGGUGUUUGACAGGGCUUGCAGCUCAACCACCAAAACAUCCGGCAUUCCUCCCAUUUUCUCCAUUAUUUCCUUCACUUCAGUCAAAAUGUUGGCAGAAACUGCUGCCUUGCCUGCGCGCUCUUGGUUGUCGAGGCUCUUCUUCAGCGCAGAGAUUUUGGCGCAGUUCCUCCUUUUUCCAGUACGAAAUGGUAGCGUGCGAGACGUCAUCAAUCAAGGACACACAAUCUUGCGCACCAAGUCCUUGCUCAGCUUCUUGUCCUGGCUCUUCUGGACGUCUUUGACCUGCUGUCCUGCUCGUUCAAUUGAUUGGCUUCUCAAGCCAAGUUUUGUAACCUGCGGACAGUAAAACCGUUCGUCUGAGUCUCUUCUUUUCUGAGCUUUGCGUCCUGAAAACAAGUAUAGAAAUAGAAAUAAGCUAUUCAAUUGAUUUGCUUUGAUCUCGAGCACUUCCGCUUUUAUGACUGCCUGUAAAUA